rnacentral:tRNA from 5 species
GCGCGCCGUAGCCGCCGCCCUGGGCCGGCGUCUCAAACGCGCCGUUGAUCGGGCGGUUCGGAUCGGUCGCGCGCU